GGUGAGGUGGCCGAGAGGUUAAGGUGAUGGACUGCUAAUCCAUUGUGCGGGUUUGAGUCCCACCCUCGUCG